rnacentral:rRNA from 1 species
UACGAAGGGUGCAAGCGUUACUCGGAAUUACUGGGCGUAAAGCGUGCGUAGGUGGUUCGUUAAGUCUGAUGUGAAAGCCCUGGCUCAACCUGGGAAUGGCAUUGGAUACUGGCGAUCUAGAGUGCGGUAGAGGGCAGUGAAAUUCCCGGUGUAGCAGUGAAAUGCGUAGAGAUCGGGAGGAACAUCUGUGGCGAAGGCGACUGCCUGGACCAGCACUGACACUGAGGCACGAAAGCGUGGGGAGCAAACAGG